rnacentral:rRNA from 1 species
AUUGAACGCUGGCGGCAUGCCUUACACAUGCACGUCGAACGGCAGCACGGGGCAACCUGGUGGCGAGUGGCGAACGGGUGAGUAAUGCAUCGGAACGUACCUUUCAGUGGGGGAUAACGUAGCGAAAGUUACGCUAAUACCGCAUAUUCUGUGAGCAGGAAAGCAGGGGAUCGCAAGACCUUGCGCUGAUUGAGCGGCCGAUGUCAGAUUAGCGAGUUGGUGAGGUAAAGGCUCACCAAGGCGACGAUCUGUAGCGGGUCUGAGAGGUUGAUCCGCCACACUGGAACUGAGACACGGGCCAGACUCCUACGGGAGGCAGCAGUGGGGAAGUUUGGACAAUGGGGGCAACCCUGAUCCAGCCAUGCCGCGUGAGUGAAGAAGGCCUUCGGGUUGUAAAGCUCUUUCGGCCGGGAAGAAAUCGCACGGGCUAAUACCCUGUGUGGAUGACGGUACCGGAAUAAGAAGCACCGGCUAACUACGUGCCAGCAGCCGCGGUAA